rnacentral:tRNA from 1 species
CAACUCAAGCAGGCUUGCCCGAGUGGUCUAAGGGGGUAGAUUUAAGACCUACUGCACUGAGUGCGCGUGGGUUCAAACCCCACAGCCUGCACAAAAAAAAAAAUUUAUAACUACGUAAGAAUAAGAUAACACAACCAUUUCACAACUUCUCACAACCUAUAAUAAUCUAGAAAUUAGGUUUAAAAGAAACACCAUGGAGUUAGGCAAAUCCUAUUGGUCUAAGCAAAAGAUUCUCACAACCUAUAAUGAGUUUAAGUUAUUAGAGAACUGAAUUUACAUGGUUAUGAUAAAAAUUGUAACUCUAUCUCAUAACAAUUUCUUUUUAGCUAGUAUUUUUGAUGAAUCGGCUUUUUUAACAACAAAAAAAAAUAAUUGGUAUUUUUUAUGAAUCAGCCUUUUUUUUUUUUUUUCACUUCUAUUUUAGGUUUAAGGUGGGAUAAACUAGAAAGUAGGUUUAAAAGAAACGCCAUUGAGUUAGGCAAAUCCUACUCGUCUAAACAAGAAGAUUCUCGCAACCUAUAAUGAGUUUAAGGUAUUAGGGAACUAAAUUUACAUGACUAUGAUCAAAAUUGUAACUUUGUCUCGUAACAAAAAAAAAAAAAGUUCCGAAAGCAACCUCAAACUUGAACACUUUACAUAUUCAAACACAUACACAAUGUCUAACUCUAAAAUAACAUUUGGGUUAACAUUUCUAAGGUCUCUCGGCUUGUUAUAUGGUUCGUCAUCGAAACAAGGGGACUAACCUAUAUGCUCAACUUGGCCUAAGAAAAAGGAUAAUUCAAGAACAACAGGUUGGCUUCAAAAGCUAGAGGUAUAAACAAUUUGCUUUAGUUUGCACAAAAUAGUUAACUUAUGAUAGAGAAAAGUUAGCUUAUGUUAGGCUUUCUCCUUUUCUUUUUUGUUGUUUGUUUUCUUGUUGUCUCCUUUUCCUUUGUACCUCAGAAAAGGGGGUCAAAUUGACCCGUUUUAAAGUUAAGGAUCAAACUGAACUAUUACUCUAAAUUAGGGAAUCAAAUUGACAAAUUUUAAAAUAAUGGAACUAAACUGGACUUUUAAAAUAACGUAAGAUAUUAAUAUAGUAUUUAAGUCACUUUUCUUUUACCAAAACUUACAAUUUUCACCUGGUAUAUUGUAUAAAUGAUAUACUAAUUUUGUUUAUUAAAAGAUAAAUUUUGUAUCAAUCAUUUUAAUUAAUUUAAUAACUAUUUUCAUAUUUGAAAUAAAAAGACAACAAAAACUUAAACACAUACCCAAAAGUAUAAAAACUGUAUACUUAAUCUAAAUCUAUUUUGGGUAAAAAGAAAAUCUGUACUUAAUAACUUAAACAAAAAAUAUGUCGUAUAGUUAACCACAAAUGGCUUUAAAUAAUGAACUACAAAUGACAAAAACAACUCGAGCAGGCUUGCCCGAGUGGUCUAAGGGGGUAGACUUAAGACCUACUGCAUUGAGUGCGCGUGGGUUCAAACCCCACAGCCUGCACAAAAAAAUUAUUUUUAUAACUAUGUAAGAAUAAUAUAACCCAACCAUUUCACAACUUCUCGCAACAUAAUUGUGUAUUUGAAAGGUUCACACACACAACAUGCAAGACUACAUAUUACCAAAACUUGAAAAGUCUUAAGCAUCAAUCAAAUACAAUAUCACAGUGUACACUUUUUUGGGUUUUAUCAAGGCUUAGAUUAAAGGUAUGAUAAUCUAGAAAUUAGGUUUAAAAGAAACACCUUGGAGUUAGGCAAAUCCUAUUGGUCUAAGCAAAAGAUUCUCACAACCUAUAAUGAGUUUAAGUUACUAGAGAACUGCAUUUACAUGGUUAUGAUAAAAAUUGUAACUCUAUCUCAUAACAAUUUUUUUUUAGCUAGUAUUUUUGAUGAAUCGGCUUUUUUAACAACAAAAAAAAAUAGCUGGUAUUUUUUAUGAAUCAGCCUUUUUUUUAACUUCUCUUUUAGGUUUAAGGUGGGAUAAUCUAGAAAGUAGGUUUAAAAGAAACGCCAUGGAGUUAGGCAAAUCCUACUCGUCUAAAGAAGAAGAUUCUCGCAACCUAUAAUGAGUUUAAGGUAUUAGAGAAUUAAAUUUACAUGACUAUGAUCAAAAUUGUAACUUUGUCUCGUAACAAAAAAAAAAGUUCCGAAAGCAACCUCAAACUUGAACACUUUACAUAUUCAAACACAUACACAAUGUCUAACUCUAAAAUAACAUUUGGGUUAACAUUUCUAAGGUCUCUAGGCUUGUAAUAUGGUUCGUCACCGAAACAAGUGCACUAACCUAUAUGCUCAACUUGGCCUAAGAAAAAGGAUAAUUCAAGAACAACAGGUUGGCUUCAAAAGCUAGAGGUAUAAACAAUUUGAUUUAGUGUGCACAAAAUAGUUAACAUCUGAUAGAGAAAAGUUAGCUUAUGUUAGGCUUUCUCCUUUUUUUUUUUGUUCUUGUUUGUGUUCUUGUUCUCUCCUUUUCCUUUAUACCUCAGAAAAGGGGGUCAAAUUGACCCGUUUUAAAGUUAAGGAUCAAACUGAACUAUUACUCUAAAUUAAGGAACCAAAUUGACAAAUUUUAAAAUAAUGGAACUAAACUGGACUUUUAAAAUAACGUAAGAUAUGAAUAUAGUAUUUAAGUCACUUUUUCUUUUACGAAAACUUACAAUUUUCACCUGGUAUAUUGUAUAAAUGAUAUACUAAUUUCGUUUAUUAAAAGAUAAAUGUUGUAUCAAUCAUUUUAAAUUAAUUUAAUAAAUAUUUUCAUAUUUGAAAUAAAAAGACAACAAAAACUUAAACACGUACCCAAAAGUAUAAAAACUGUAUACUUAAUCUAAGUCUAUUUUGGGUAAAAAGAAAAUCUGUACUUAAUAACUUAAACAAAAAAUAUGUCGUAUAGUUAACCACAAAUGGCUUUAAAUAAUGAAUUACAGAUGCCAAAAACAACUCGAGCAGGCUUGCCCGAGUGGUCUAAGGGGGUAGACUUAAGACCUACUGCACUGAGUGCACGUGGGUUCGAACCCCACAGCCUGCACAAAAAAAUUAUUUUUAUAACUAUGUAAGAAUAAUAUAACCCAACCAUGUCACAACUUCUCGCAACAUAAUUGUGUAUUUGAAAGGUUCACACACACAACAUGCAAGACUACAUAUUACCAAAACUUAAAAAGUCUUAACCAUCAAUCAAAUACAAUAUCACAGUGUACACUUUUUUGGGUUUUAUCAGGGCUUAGAUUAAAGGUAUGAUAAUCUAGAAAUUAUGUUUAAAAGAAACACCAUGGAGUUAGGCAAAUCCUAUUGAUCUAAGAAAAAGAUUCUCACAACCUAUAAUGAGUUUAAGUUACUAGAGAACUGCAUUUACAUGGUUAUGAUAAAAAUUGUAACUCUAUCUCAUAACAAUUUUUUUUUAGCCUUUUUUAUAACUUCUCUUUUAGGUUUUAGGUGGGAUAAUCUAGAAAGUAGGUUUAAAAGAAACGCCAUGGAAUUAGGCAAAUCCUACUCGUCUAAAGAAGAAGAUUCUCGCAACUUAUAACGAGUUUAAGGUAUUAGAGAAUUAAAUUUACAUGACUAUGAUCAAAAUUGUAACUUUGUCUCGUAACAAAAAAAAAAAGUUCUGAAAGCAACCUCAAACUUGAACACUUUACAUAUUCAAAAACAUACACAAUGUCUAACUCUAAAAUAACAUUUGUGUUAACAUUUCUAAGGUCUCUAGGCUUGUAAUAUGGUUCGUCACCGAAACAAGGGGACUAACCUAUGUGCUCAACUUGGCCUAAGAAAAAGGAUAAUUCAAGAACAACAGGUUGGCUUCAAAAGCUAGAGGUAUAAACAAUUUGCUUUAGUGUGCACAAAAUAGUUAACUUCUGAUAGAGAAAAGUUAGCUUAUGUUAGGCUUUCUCCUUUUCUUUUUUGUUCUUGUUUGCUUUCUUGUUGUCUCCUUUUCCUUUGUACCUCAGAAAAGGGGGUCAAAUUGACCCGUUUUAAAGUUAAGGAUCAAACUAAACUAUUACUCUAAAUUAAGGAACCAAAUUGACAAAUUUUAAAAUAAUGGAACUAAACUGGACUUUUAAAAUAACGUAAGAUAUUAAUAUAGUAUUUAAGUCACUUUUUCUUUUACGAAAACUUACAAUUUUCACCUGGUAUAUUGUAUAAAUGAUAUACUAAUUUUGUUUAUUAAAAGAUAAAUGUUGUAUCAAUCAUUUUAAAUUAAUUUAAUAAAUAUUUUCAUAUUUGAAAUAAAAAGACAACAAAAACUUAAACACGUACCCAAAAGUAUAAAAACUGUAUACUUAAUCUAAAUCUAUUUUGGGUAAAAAGAAAAUGUGUACUUAAUAACUUAAACAAAAAAUAUGUCGUAUAGUUAACCACAAAUGGCUUUAAAUAAUGAACUACAGAUGACAAAAACAACUCGAGCAGGCUUGCCCGAGUGGUCUAAGGGGGUAGACUUAAGACCUACUGCACUGAGUGCGCGUGGGUUCGAACCCCACAGCCUGCACACAAAAAAUUAUUUUUAUAACAAUGUAAGAAUAAUAUAACCCAACCAUUUCACAACUUCUCGCAACAUAUAAUUGUGUAUUUCAAAGGUUCACACACACAACAUGCAAGACUACAUAUUACCAAAACUUGAAAAGUCUUAAGCAUCAAUCAAAUACAAUAUCACAGUGUACACUUUUU